rnacentral:rRNA from 1 species
UACGGGGGGAGCAAGCGUUGUUCGGAUUUAUUGGGCGUAAAGAGCGUGUAGGCGGCCAGGUAGGUCUGGUGUGAAAACUCGAGGCUUAACCUCGAGAUGUCAUCGGAAACCAUUUGGCUAGAGUCCGGAAGAGGAGAGUGGAAUUCCUGGUGUAGCGGUGAAAUGCGCAGAUAUCAGGAAGAACACCAAUGGCGAAAGCAGCUCUCUGGGACGGUACUGACGCUGAGACGCGAAAGCGUGGGGAGCGAACAGG